rnacentral:rRNA from 1 species
GACGAACGCUGGCGGCGUGCUUAACACAUGCAAGUCGAGCGGAAAGGCCCUUUCGGGGGUACUCGAGCGGCGAACGGGUGAGUAACACGUGAGUAAUCUGCCCUGGACUCUGGGAUAGCCACUGGAAACGGUGAUUAAUACCGGAUAUGACACCUUGCUGCAUGGUGGGGUGUGGAAAGUUUUUUCGGUCCAGGAGGUGCUCGCGGCCUAUCAGCUUGUUGGUGAGGUAAUGGCUCACCAAGGCUUUGACGGGUAGCCGGCCUGAGAGGUUGACCGGUCACACUGGGACUGAGACACGACCCAGACUCCUACGGGAGGCAGCAGUGGGUAAUAUUGGACAAUGGGCGGAAGCCUGAUCCAGCAACGCCGCGUGAGGGAUGACGGCCUUCGGGUUGUAAACCUCUUUCAGUACCGACGAAGCGUGAGUGACGGUAGGUACAGAAGAAGGACCGGCCAACUACGUGCCAGCCGCCGCCGUAAUAC